rnacentral:rRNA from 1 species
UACAGAGGGGGCAAGCGUUGUCCGGAUUUACUGGGCGUAAAGGAUGCGUAGGCGGAUGUUUAAGUGAGAUGUGAAAUACCCGAGCUCAACUUGGGUGCUGCAUUUCAAACUGGAUAUCUAGAGUGCAGGAGAGGAAAGCGGAAUUCCUAGUGUAGCGGUGAAAUGCGUAGAGAUUAGGAAGAACACCAGUGGCGAAGGCGACUUUCUGGCCUGUUCUUGACGCUGAGGCGCGAAAGCUAGGGGAGCAAACGGG